rnacentral:rRNA from 1 species
AUUGAACGCUGGCGGCAUGCCUUACACAUGCAAGUCGAACGGCAGCACGGGAGCAAUCCUGGUGGCGAGUGGCGAACGGGUGAGUAAUAUAUCGGAACGUGCCCGGUCGUGGGGGAUAACGUAGCGAAAGCUACGCUAAUACCGCAUACGAUCUACGGAUGAAAGCGGGGGAUCGCAAGACCUCGCGCGAUUGGAGCGGCCGAUAUCAGAUUAGGUAGUUGGUGAGGUAAAGGCUCACCAAGCCGACGAUCUGUAGCUGGUCUGAGAGGACGACCAGCCACACUGGGACUGAGACACGGUCCAGACUCCUACGGAAGGCAGCAGUGGGGAAUAUUGGACAAUGGGCGGCAAGACCUGAUCCAGCCAUGCCGCGU